UAUUAGAGAACCGUUUGGAGAUGAACCGCGGAUGUGUUGAACGUUGAUGGAGCUACAGACUGAAUGAAGACAGAAGGUGAGCGAGGCCUGAGUGAUAGAGCCAGAACCUUUCAUCUCACCCAGUUGUGCUGGACAGUUGAAACCAUUCAUGAAAGACAUCAGUACUGAGUCCUGCUCCACAGCCUCCUAACCAGGUAAUAGGAAAUGGCACUGACCCCUCCUGAUCCCCCCGAUUACCUUUGUGAAGCGUGAAUGUGGUAUGGAAUCACACAUCAGGAGACGAGUUGUAAUUAUUUUUGCGAUGCCAUCAGCAUGGAUCAAUCACUCAGGGAGGCUGCUAGUGGAACGCCGCUCGCAGCCAUGGACGGAGCCAGCAGCGACCCUCUUUGAC